rnacentral:rRNA from 1 species
ACAAGCAGCGGAGCGUGUGGUUUAAUUCGAUGCUACACGAGAGCCUUACCUGGGUUUGACAUGUACGUAGUAGUUGAACCGAAGGGAACGAGCUUCGGGCAGCGUACACAGGUGCUGCAUGGCUGUCGUCAGCUCGUGCCGUGAGGUGUUGGGUUAAGUCCCGCAACGAGCGCAACCCUCAUCGCUAGUUACAUGUGUCUAGCGAGACUGCCAGGUUAACCCUGGAGGAAGGUGGGGAUGACGUCAAGUCAGCAUGGCCUUUAUGCCCAGGGCUACACACACGCUACAAUGGUCGGUACAAUGGGAUGCCAAGCCGUGAGGCGGAGCAAAUCCUCAAAAGCCGGCCUCAGUUCGAAUUGGAGGCUGCAACUCGCCUCCAUGAAGUCGGAGUUGCUAGUAACCGCAGGUCAGCUAUACUGCGGUGAAUACGUUCCCGGGGCUU